rnacentral:rRNA from 1 species
AUUGAACGCUGGCGGCAUGCUUUACACAUGCAAGUCGAACGGCAGCACGGGAGUAAUCCUGGUGGCGAGUGGCGAACGGGUGAGUGAUAUAUCGGAACGUGCCCAGUCGUGGGGGAUAACGCAGCGAAAGCUGUGCUACUACCGCAUACGAUCUAAGGAUGAAAGCGGGGGAUCGCAAGACCUCGCGCGAUUGGCGCGGCCGACAUCGGAUUAGCUAGUUGGUGGGGUAAAGGCCCACCAAGGCGACGAUCUGUAGCUGGUCUGAGAGGACGACCAGCCACACUGGAACUGAGACACGGGCCAGACUCCUACGGGAGGCAGCAGUGGGGAAUUUUGGACAAUGGGCGCAAGCCUGAUCCAGCAAUGCCGCGUGCAGGAUGAAGGCCUUCGGGUUGUAAACUGCUUUUGUACGGAACGAAACGGCCCUUUCUAAUACAGGGGGCUAAUGACGGUACCGUAGGAAUAAGCACCGGCUAACUACGUGCCAGCAGCCGCCGUAA